AGAAAAUCUAACUGCCCGUGAAAAACUCUAUCUCCUCUCUCUCCAUUCUCCAACAAAGAGCUCGUGGGUGGGUUUUCUUCUCCAACGAAACUCUAUCCCCUCUCUUCUUCUCUCUGCACUGCUCCUCCCCUCAGGCCUAAGCCAGGCACCAAUCUGAAGGUUUUGGAUCAGAUGCAGUGAUCAAUCCUAGGUGACAGAGCCUAUUAGGCUAGAACAGACCAAUAAGCAAUCCAAUGUGUGAUCUUUUUAUAUUCCUCUGUCCUGGAUGUUGCAAUCUAGCCGAAUAAACCACUUUUGCUUUUGAUCGUUCACUGUCCAUCUAUGCAUUUUAUCUCCUUGCGUCAAAUUAAAUUUUGUUCUUUCUAUCAAUUACUUGUUUCAAAUUGUUGGCCAAUUAAAAUGGACAAAGGAAUUAGUGACUGGCAAAUAAAUCCAAAUUGGAAUUAGUAAAUUUAUUGUUCAAUUUUUAAUGUGUUGACACCUCUAUUUGAAAAUUGUUCAUUAGCUAACAGAGGUAUCUAAUAACCUGUAGGCUAGCACCUUUCUCAUCAAUACAAACCAUAGUGGUACUUUUUUGGACAACAGUAGAGUAAAAUGCCUAAAGUUUUAGCCAAUUCUGAAAUUAUUCUUCUAGAGCAGUAGAGAAAAGUGGUACUCAGACUGCAAUACAUAGGUUUAUGCUAUUUUUGUUUUGGUGCAGCAGAUAUGGCAAGGAGUAGAAGGCGGUGCAUUGUUCAAAGCCAUGAGGAAUAUUUGUCAGAGGAACACAUUGCAGAAGAAAAUGCCCCUAAACAGCUUGCCACACCAUCUGAAGAGAAACAAUAUGCAGUGAUGUUCAAGAGGGUAAUGAAGAUACUGAUGACGAUGUUGGAGAAGUCAAUGAAGAUACUGAUGACGAUGCUAGUAUGAAUGCUGGAGAAGGCAAUGAAGAAUCUGAUGAUGAUGUUAAAAUUAAUGUUCGAGAUGAAAAUGGAACAAUUGAAACACGUGGGAAGACAAAACUGAAAGAUAUUUGGAACCUUCCGAAAGGUCUUAGGAUUGUGGUUCAGUGCAAUGAUCUCAAUCAGGCAGUAGGAGAUGAAGCUGGAAUUUUGUCUAAAUUUCUUGGAAUGGUAGCUAGGAAUGGUACUUUGUGUAGCUUAAGCUACACAGACUGGAGAUUUCUAAUAGGAAAGAGAGAGAGAAAAAAAAUGAAUUAAAAGUUAAAAAGGACAUUCUUAAACAAAUAUCCAUGUUCAGGACAAGGUUUUGCAACUACCAACCAAGCAAUCUACUGUAGAUAAGAAUAAAGGAAACAUGAACCAGAAUGAUCACAUGCAACAAGGGAAGAAUAAUUCUAAUGCUUAUAAGAAACAACAGUGCAACAUAGUGGACAUUAUGGAUGCCAAUUCAUUGGAGAUUGGAACUAAUGUAUUCUUGAAAAGCUGGAAAAAUCGAAAUAAGAAUGUGGUUGUUGCUUCAAUUGUAAGCUGUGAUCCAACACGCAAAGUUGCAGGUAUUGAGCUAGGAACUGAAUACUUGAUGGUGCAUGUUCAUUUUCCAUUGGCAAAAUAUGAAGAAUUGAUCAGGCCAUACAAAGGCUACAAAAUUAUUGGCAAUGUCGUACGACUUGAUAUUGCGUGGCCAGCAAUUUUUGUUGACAAGAUAAAUGGAUCAUGAUCUGGGGCAAUAUGGUUACUACAAGGUGGACAACUGUCAUCUAAAGAUCCCUUGUGAAUAUGAUGAUGACUGUAAUGUGGAAGAUGGUGGCAAUGAUAGUGGCAACUUCAGAUGCAUGUUUUUUUUUCUAUAGUUUAGAUUACAUUUGUGCAUGAUGUUCUGAACAAAAUUUAAUGUCAUGACUUAUGAGGAUGAUUUUCCAUGUAAUACAAAAAAUUCUCUUUAAUUACUAUUAGUUUUAUGAAUGACUUAGUUUUUCUCA